rnacentral:misc_RNA from 1 species
GAUAAUAACACUAUUUCACUCAGUUGUACUCGUGCACUGCCCAUGGUUAAGAUUAAAAUAGUGUUAUUAAAUUAUAAUAGCCAAUAUGGAGGAGUUUAGUUACAGAAAUGAAAUAAUUGAUAAUUAUUUUAAUGAGUUCACGUCUCGAAUUGUGUCUGAGACCGGUAUUGCUAGUGAUAAGUACCAUAUCGGGAAAAUUGUGCUGCAGAGUUUAAAAGAUGAUCCUGAGUUUAUUAUGCAGAUCGAUGGAGCAACAGGAGAAUCAGAAACCAACGGCUCAAUAUUAAGAAGAAGCAUCAAGUGCGCGACUGCCUUCAAGAACUUAGGGCUGAAGACUGGUGACGUCAUAGUUAUCAUGGCUCCUAACCACUUGGAUCAAGCCGUUCCAUUCUACGCUGCUAUGUUCCUUGGGAUUGCUACUUCUCCCAUUGACAGAACUUUAGGAGUUUAUGAAUUGAAACACACUUUAAGCAUCAGCAAGCCCAAAAUGAUAUUCUGUCAAAGUCAAAAAGUGCAAGAUGUCCAAAAAGCUGUUGAACUCUUGGGUCUCGACGCUAAAGUCGUCAGCUUUGAUAGCAGUCCUGACACCAUCACUUUGGCUGAAAUGAUGGAGAAGCAUGGAGAAUGUAUAGCCGUUGAGGAUUUUAGAGCUACAGACUUCGAUCCUGAGGAAACAAUAGGAUACCUGAUAUCUACGAGCGGAACCACUGGGCUGCCAAAAUCCGCCAUUGUUACACAUAAGAACAUAGCGACCAGCGGAAUUUAUAUAUGUUCUUUCGCCAAGAAGUUCCCUCCUACACGUUCUGCGCUUCUGGUGGCUCCUCUGCAAUGGCUGUCUUCUCUCCUCAGUUACAUUUUAUCACCGUAUUAUAAAUAUACGAGGAUACAGACUUCCAACGAGGUCACUAGCGACCACACACUUGAGUUGAUUGAAAAAUAUAAGCCAACUUUCAUGAUCAUCAGUCCAACAAUGAUGACUACUUUAGUGAAGGCAGCUAAAAAGGCAAACGCAGAUCUAACCAGCUUCGAAGUGUUAUACCUUGGAGGAAGUGCCGUGCCCAGGAACCUUGUAGAAGAAUUAAGGAAAAUGGUAUCUCCAACGGCAACAGUAGUGGAUGUCUACGGAAUGAGCGAGAUUGGCUCCUUGACAUUUGAAAGCGCUUGUUCUCCUAUUGGGUCCUCUGGGAGACCGCUCGCACACUUGCAAUAUAAGCUGGUCGAUAUAGAUUCUGGCGAGGAAAUAACAGAACCAUUCAAGCGUGGAGAAUUGUGGCUUAAAGGACCCGGUGGUAUCAAGGGAUAUUACAACAACCCCGAAGCUACGGCAGAGGUUUUAUCCGAAGACAAGUGGUUCAAGACCGGCGACAUGAUGUACAGGGACGAAAGAUGGAACUUCUACUUCGUGGAGCGCAUCAAACUCCUGCUUAAGUAUAGGAAUUAUCAGAUAUCGCCAGUGGAAGUAGAAAACGUGAUUCUGAAGCACCCUAGCGUCCAAGAUGUGGCGGUGACCAGUAUACUCCCUAUCUUCUCCUAUCAAAAAUUAAAACACAUUAUAACUCCUAUUCUAGAUAUCGCCAGUGGAAGUAGAAAACGUGAUUCUGAAGCACCCUAGCGUCCAAGAUGUGGCGGUGACCAGUAUACCUGACGAGGAGUGUGGAGACCUGCCCGUGGCGUGUGUCAUAGUACGCCCAGGGGCUCAGGUUACGGCUCAAGAGAUCAAGGACUUGGUUAAAGAAAAACUGACAGACACAAAACAACUAAGGGGCGGAGUGAUAUUCUUGAAUGAGCUACCACUCACCACCUCCACCAAGUUGCACAGAAGGAAGCUCAAGGAAAUUGCUUUCGAAAGACUGAAAAAUCAAGUGACAGCAUAGAAUACAUAUACCUACAAAUAAAAAAUACCUAAUAA